rnacentral:rRNA from 1 species
UACGGAGGGUGCAAGCGUUAUCCGGAUUUACUGGGCUUAAAGGGUGCGUAGGUGGGUCUGUAAGUCAGUGGUGAAAUCUCCGGGCUUAACCCGGAAACUGCCAUUGAUACUAUAGGUCUUGAAUAUCCUGGAGGUGAGCGGAAUAUGUCAUGUAGCGGUGAAAUGCUUAGAUAUGACAUAGAACACCAAUUGCGAAGGCAGCUCACUACGGGAUUAUUGACACUGAGGCACGAAAGCGUGGGGAUCAAACAGG